GGGAGCCGUACAGCGCGGUCAAUGAUCGUGCUGAUAAGGAAGAGGUCCCAGGUUCAAGUCCUGGUAGCCCCA
rnacentral:tRNA from 1 species